GAUGAACGCUGCCAGAAUGCUUAACACAUGCAAGUCAACUUGAACUUCGGUUUGGGUGGCGGACGGGUGAGUAACGCGUAAAGAACUUGCCUCACAGAUAGGGACAACAUUUGGAAACGAAUGCUAAUACCUGAUAUUAUGAUUAUAUGGCAUCGUAUAAUUAUGAAAGCUAUAUGCGCUGUGAGAGAGCUUUGCGUCCCAUUAGCUAGUUGGAGAGGUAACGGCUCACCAAGGCGAUGAUGGGUAGCCGGCCUGAGAGGGUGAUCGGCCACAAGGGGACUGAGACACGGCCCUUACUCAUACGGGAGGCAGCAGUGGGGAAUAUUGGACAAUGGACCAAGAGUCUGAUCCAGCAAUUCUGUGUGCACGAUGAAGUUUUUCGGAAUGUAAAGUGCUUUCAGUUGGGAAGAAAAAAAUGACGGUACCAACAGAAGAAGUGACGGCUAAAUACGUG
rnacentral:rRNA from 1 species